UACGUAGGGGGCAAGCGUUAUCCGGAUUUACUGGGUGUAAAGGGAGCGUAGACGGAGCAGCAAGUCUGAUGUGAAAACCCGGGGCUCAACCCCGGGACUGCAUUGGAAACUGUUGAUCUGGAGUGCCGGAGAGGUAAGCGGAAUUCCUAGUGUAGCGGUGAAAUGCGUAGAUAUUAGGAGGAACACCAGUGGCGAAGGCGGCUUACUGGACGGUAACUGACGUUGAGGCUCGAAAGCGUGGGGAGCAAACAGG
rnacentral:rRNA from 3 species